UACGUAGGGGGCAAGCGUUGUCCGGAUUUAUUGGGCGUAAAGAGCUCGUAGGUGGUUCGGUAAGUCGGAUGUGAAAUCUCCAGGCUCAACCUGGAGGGGUCAUUCGAUACUGCCGUGACUAGAGGUCGGUAGGGGAGUGUGGAAUUCCUGGUGGAGCGGUGAAAUGCGUAGAUAUCGGGAGGAACACCUGUGGCGAAGGCGGCCCCCUGGUUGGAUACUGACGCUGAUACGCGAAAGCGUGGGGAGCAAACAGG
rnacentral:rRNA from 1 species